rnacentral:lncRNA from 12 species
GCUUUGUAUAUAGUAUUUUGUUAUAUAAGUAAGAUUUAAAAAAAAGAUUCUUUGUCCUUAGCCCUGCAAAUUUACAAUUGCCCUUUGGUACUUCACCUGUACUACUUUCACAUUCUCCCCUUCCCUUCUUGACUUUUCCACUCUUGAAUGGUAGAAACUGAAUUGUGGGGCUAGAAAGGACCCUAAAGGUUACCUUAUCAAUUUGGACAUUUUACAACUGAGAACAUAACUCUAGAGACAUGAGUGACUUGCUUAAGGUCACACAAUUAUUGGCAGAAUUUUAUUAAAAACACAAGUCUCCUAACUGUCUGUAAAGAGUUUCUUCCACCUCUAUAUAUUUAAGGUAAUUUAAGAGCAGAGAGCAACAGGAAAAAUUAUCAAGGAGUAAAGCAAUGGAGGAUGAGAGGAUUUUGGAAAUACUGUGGCCUAAAGGAGGCACGAUUCUCAGUCACCUACUUUCAUAUCUAACAGAGUUUAUCAUUUGUUAGAGGAAGAAAGAUGUGCAUGCCCUGGGGUUUGAAAAUACGAGCACAAGCGAAGAUAUAAUUUUGAUGGACAGUGCUGGUGAGGACCGUCUCCCCUCUGGGUGAGCAGAACACCUGAGAACCAAGGUCACAGAACCUGGAGAAAGGACUAUAAUAAAGAGGUACACUGAUCCAGUCAAUGGAGGAUGUCAAGUUUGGUCUUAAUCCAGAUUUUAAUAUAAAAAUCCGCCACAAGGGAGAGAGCAAGUGAGUGUUGCAACACUCAAUGGUUUUGUAAAGGGCAACACGAAUCAGUACUCCACCAGAGUCCCCUCAAAUGGAUAGUACAGAGGAAGCUUGCUGGCAUCCUGACUGCCUCAGAGAGGCACCUUCAUCACCUCUGAGAUGGCAUCUGACAUUUCCUCCAGCCAGUUACAUGCAGGUGCCCUGUGCAUCAAGAAAGAUUGAAGGAGAACCUGGGUGGCUCAGUCAGUUAAACAUCUGCCUUUGGCUCUGGUCAUGAUCCCAGGUCCUGGAAUGGAGCCCUGCAUUGGGCUCCCUGCUCAGCAAGGAGCCUACUUCUCCCUCUCCCUCUACGAUACUCCCAUUCUCUCUCAAAUAAAUCAAUAAAAUCAUUAAAAAAAGGAAAGGUU